AUUGAACGCUGGCGGCAGGCCUAACACAUGCAAGUCGAGCGAGAGGCGGACGGGAGAGCAAGGUAUGGGGCCGGCCCGAUGGAGGGGGAUAAGAACUGGAAACGGAGGCUAAAAACGCACACUAUCGGAUAACCCAUAUGGGAUGAGCUAGUUGGUGGGGUAAAGGCUCACCUAGGCGACGAUCUCUAGCUGGUCUGAGAGGAUGAUCAGCCACACUGGGACUGAGACACGGCCCAGACUCCUACGGAGGCAGCAGUGGGGAAUAUUGCACAAUGGGCGCAAGCCUGAUGCAGCCAUGCCGCGUGUAUGAAGAAGGCCUUAGGGUUGUAAAGUACUUUCAGCGGGGAGGCGUUACCCGCAGAAUAAGCACCGGCUAACUCCGUGCCAGCAGCCGCGGUAAUAC
rnacentral:rRNA from 1 species